GCGAGCGUAGCUCAGCUGGUAGAGCACCACGUUGCCAACGUGGAUGUCGCCGGUUCGAUCCCGGUCGCUCGCUCCA
rnacentral:tRNA from 1 species